UACGGAGGGGGCUAGCGUUGUUCGGAAUUACUGGGCGUAAAGAGCUCGUAGGCGGCCUGUUGCGUCCGCUGUGAAAGCCCGGGGCUCAACCCCGGACUUGCAGUGGGUACGGGCAGACUAGAGUGUGGUAGGGGAGACUGGAAUUCCUGGUGUAGCGGUGAAAUGCGCAGAUAUCAGGAGGAACACCGAUGGCGAAGGCAGGUCUCUGGGCCACUACUGACGCUGAGAAGCGAAAGCAUGGGGAGCGAACAGG
rnacentral:rRNA from 1 species